UAACAGAUCUCUUUCUCUCUGCAGGCAUUGGUGUCACUAUACGGUUACACGGACAGUCUCCUGUCAAGUGCAGAAUGGGUCAGAAACGGUGAUCCAGCGAGUUUAUCAGAGCUGCCGGUGGCCAGGACCUUGUGCCAACUUAGUGAGUUACAGGACUCUUAUAAGGCCCACGUACAAAAUGUCCUACCGAACUGUGACUACACUGGAGUGGAGGUGCUGUCCUGGCUUCACAGGGAGCAACUGUGAAGAGGAGACUUUUUGGUGCAACAUUCAUGUUACUUACAACAAGACACCUGUGACUUUGUCAUCUGUUCUGAUGGAAGAAAACUGGGCUCUGGAAGAAAGGAGAAUCAUUUCCCUUUCUCAUCAUGAUGCAUGAGAAGAACAUGUUUUGCAUUUUUCUUCUGGUUGUUUUCCAUUUUACCUGUUGCCUCUGGAGCUUAGAAACAACUCCUGCUUCUCCAUUGAGUUCCACGUGGUAUUAGGCAUCAGCUGAAUCUCUGCUGAUGUCUUAUGAUUGGGCAGAAAUAUCUUGAGGCUUUCUGUUGGUUUGCAUCACGUUGGUGCAUCCUGCUUGUGCUGGCUGCUGAAGGGUUACUGGGAGUGCCUAGCAUCUCUGACUGCAGUCUGUAGCUACGCCUCGUUUUCAUUGCACCACAAUAUCUUGCUGCUAAUCAUGCAACUCAAGCAAGUCUCCAAACUAGGAAGCUGUUUAAUUAGUCACAAAGGUGGCUGCAGACAGCAGCUCUCUUCAGGCUGUUGAGGAAACAAUAGUUUCCCGGGAGCUCAAGAGAAACCUAAAACAUGGGAAAGCUACUCUGAAUUCAAGUGUUCAGGAGGGAGCUUUGCAUUUUAACACACUGCUGAAAGAAGUGGGCUUGGAAAACAAGGUGUUGUGUGCAGCUUGGCUUUCUACCUGUCACAACAAGGGAGAGGGAUGCCUGGGGCUGGGGCAGAACUCAUUUCCCAGGUAGCUGUGACUCAGCCUGGUAGAGGACCUGACUGGGGACCAAGCAGCUGUGUGUGCAGCCCAGUCAUGCCUGUAGGUUUGGACAGGUGUGAGUGAUUACAGCUCAGUUGUGCUGCUGGUGUAAAGGAGAGAAUCCAGCUCCCUCCCGCAGUGCCAGAUCCAUCUCAGCAGAGUUCAGUGGAAAUAAAAAGCCAACAUAAUCUUUAGAAAUUCAGCAGUGAUCUCGCAGGAGCAGGUCUGUGGAAUGAGGUGACAACUUUACACGAUCAGCUUUCAAGGUGCAACUGUGUGUUUGGGCUUGGAUGUGGGCUGUAGAGUGUGAGCAGAAAGCCAGUAGCAAGCUCUCGCUUCCAUGUAGGAGAUUUUCUUAACUUUUUUUUCCCCUCUCUCUCUAAAACAUCUGGAGCUGCUGACAGUCCCAUGUUCUUGAAAGAAAAAAGACCCCUUUUUAGCAGGACAUGGUUCUGCCACUUUACUCUUUAGCAGAAGCAUUGAGCAUCAUUUGAUGGUGUGCACAGGACCUUAAGCUGUCCGGAGGCAUCAGGUUUAAGAUUACAUUAUUUACUACUUAAGUUAAUCCUUAUUGUUAGUAUUGCCUGGAGUUGUAAGAAAAAAGAGGUUGGAAAAGUUUCUCUGGGGUUUUUUUGGCAGUUCUGGUUGGUACAUUUGGCAACCUGAUACAAAGCCUUUUGUACUCUCAAGUUUUUUGGCCUUUUCUACUGUAAAUGCUGUUCUUCUGGAAGGGCAGGGUGCUUACAUCCUGUAAACAACAGGAAAAAAAAAACAGAUCUAAACAAGCAACACAAAAACAGAGCAGUGUAGAACCUCAAAAUGUUUUCAUCUUUUUCUAACAACAAAUUUCACCUCUAUUUAGUUUCACGUGCGCAGAUGGAGCUUUUGAAGUUGUGAAGUAGUUAUGGCUGAAGGCAGAUCAGGGCUUCAUUAUUGCUGAUUUGUGUUCCUGCUAUGUUGCAAAUAUUGUCAGUGGUGUUCUCCAUUGGCAAUAGGAUGGCACCUAUGAUGGUGUGGUACUUCCACAUCAAGAUGCUCCUGUUUCUAGAGACAUAAAGAAAACGUUUCCUUUUUCCAGUGGUCACUGGAGUAGUGAGGUUGCAUCUUCAUAAGUAGGUAAGGCCAGGAGGUAAUGACUGAUUAAGCACAGAGUAAUUUGGGGAGUUGAGUGUUCACUGCCAUGGCACCUCUUCACAAAGGGGCAGUACAGUGUGGCUGUUCAGCCCCAAAGUAUGGUAGAUUGCUGAUGUACUGCAUGCUGUAACGCACCCUCAUUGAGAACCCCCUUUCCAUGGUAACAGACUGCAUGCCAAUAGUGCAAGCUGUUAAAUGCAAUUUGAGCACUACAAAAAGUCCUGACCCUUAGCUAAUAAGUUGAGCUUGAGAAAGUAACCACUUAACUGUCACCAGCUGGCAGGCACCUAUGUUAAUGCUGGAGGCUGCACAUUGUUUAGAUUUAAGUUAUCUUGGGAAUUCAGUCCUUGCAUUGUAGCUGAUAAAAAUAAUAAUAAAAAGAGCAUCAUCUGGAGGAAGCCCAGCUUUGAGAGUGGAUGGAGGCUUUGCUGCUCAGCAGGGAUGGCUGCUUCUAGUCUGUGUCCUUUCUAACGUCAGCACUGCUCAGGCUGUCCUCCUGGCCCUUUGCUGCUGUCCUCUCACCCAAAGGUAUGUCAA